AACAGGAGUGCAGCAGAUGCUAAUCCUGUAAGCAGAAACUUGGCUGUUCUUUUUCACUGUGCUGGUGGGGGAUGGAAAAAUAAAGAUCAACUAGACAGCAUCAUCGUUUAGAGGAAAUUGCAAUAACAAGGAAAGUGUCUGGGAGUAGAAGUAGGAUGUUGUGAAGAUACAGUGGAAGGAAUUUGUGAGAAAAUACAGUGAGGGCAAAGAGGCUCCUUUCAGCGCAGAGUAGGGAGGAUGGGGACCAGUCACAAAGCAGUCAAAGGUCUGCAAUAGCAACAAGCACUGACGAAAUUUGUUUUGCUGUAUUGUGAUUCAGAGUCAUCUUUCAGCAGUAGAGUUCUGUAAGGGAGAGUACCAGGAUGCCAGAUCCACAGCUAGCCAAAAUCGAUGACCUCCAAAUUCACAAUAUUCGGAAGGAAAUCAG